CUUAAAAUUUCGACUAGGGUUAGGGUUUCUCGAAACCCUAGCCUAUCCCUUGAAUUUCGAAAUUUGUGUAACGCCUUGUUUUGAAUCAUUUCCCACUGCGGGGUGGUGAUCAAGGAGUGGGAUUAGCAGCCUAAGGACCAUUAACGAAUUGAGAUUUGGACUCAUUUGGAGGUGGAUGAUGUAAUUUGGAUGAUCUUGUUGGAUAAGGUGUCUAAGUCCAUAACUUAUUUGGUAGAUACUUGACCCGACCCGACAUGGUCCAUUUGGGUUGCAUUUCAUCCAAACUAUUUAUGGAUAAUUUUAUGAGAGUUAUACACAUAUGAUUAUUAAUAUAUUAUAAGUUAUAAUAUAUUAAUAUGAAGUCAUGUUAUUUAAUUAGUCUUAGUCUUAAAUUAAUUAUGAAUUAAUUUAGAGAUUAAAAGGAAGACUAAUUAGAUUGUGGGCUAUUGGUUUUAUAUAGUGUGGGCUAACACUCAUUUGUUAAUGGGCUAGGCUUAUAUGGAAGUCCAUGGAUGAUCCAUGGAGCUUUUAACCCAUGGAUCCUUGGAAAAGGAAAGGUCAUGGGUUAUUAGGGUUUCACCCUAACCAUGCACACUAUAUAAGCAUGCUUAUGGAGCAUGAAAUGGCAACUAGUGAACUAGUGUGUGUGUGCUUGUGUGUGGCCAAAAAUACAAGUGUGUAUACUCUCUCAAAGUUUUCCAAGAGUUUGUGGUGUUUUGUGAUUCCAUUUGAGGCAUUCACACUAUUGGUGCUUGGCCCUCAAACUCCUUAAGAACCAAACUCAUCAAAAAGGUAUGUAAUCUCUUCUAACUCUUUUAUGUUGAAAUGUUCCCCAUGCCAUGUUAGAUAGGUUAUGAACCUUGGAAAAUUAUUAUUUUGCAUGUAUUUAGACAAACAUAGAUCCAAGGUUUAUUAGGGUUGCAUGCACACUUAGGAAGUGUUAGAUUGCUCAAAACCCAACAGUGGUAUCAGAGCCUAGGCUUGCUUGUUUGAUACUUGAUGCAAAAUAGUGAAAAAAGUUGAAAUUGUUGCUGUCUGGCUGAUGGACUCGCCGAGUCCAUGGGGGGACUCGCCGAGUUCAAGGCAAAAUUCAUCCUACUCGGCGAGUAGGUUCGUGCACUCGGCGAGUAGAAUGAUCAGAAUGCAGAAUUUCGACUUUUGCUGCUGGAAAUGGACUAGAAACAUUACCCUAAACUGUUUUGGUGUUUUAAAACUUGUUUUAGUUGGUGUAAUGGUUGUUCUAAUCCAUUUACAAUAGCAUAUAUCAAAAUUCCAUGAUUUUUAUGUGUUCAUAUAAUUCUUGAAAUUUUGAUGAUCAUGUUCAUGUUCUUAUGAAUUUAGAAGAUGAUAGGAAUUAUUUGCUGAAUUGUUUAGAAUUAAUUCUUGAUCAUUUAUGUGUUUUAAUGGAGUCCAUAAUUUGUCCUCAAGUUAUGGAUAUCCAAAGGUCACUUUUCUUUAACACACACAUUUAAACACAUAAGUUACAUGAAAAUGAAGAGUCUUCAUUUUUAUGAACCUUUAAUUCAUAAGUUAUGAAAUGAAAAGUUUUGGAUAGUUACAAAACUUGCCCUCAAGUUUUGGAAUUUGAAAAGUUUCACACACUUUAAUAAACUUUAAUUCCAACACUUAGAGUUUUAAAAGUUAAAAUUCAACACUUAUACUAUUUAUAACAUUAAUGGUUAAUUAUUAUAUAUAUGUAUAAGAACAAGUCGUUUUACCGUUAGUAGGCCUCAUUCACGAAGCCGGUCUAUAAGGUGGGUAUAAGGUUGUUGCCUAUAAAAUGGCGACUUAAUGGGUGUCCACUCUCACCCACCGCUUGCUUGAUCGGUGGAGGGUCGUUAGCCGAACGGGUAGGACAAUGACUUUAAAUUCUCAUUAAAAGUAUAAUGAUUAUUAUAAAGUAACUAAAAAUUUUUUAUUUAAUUCCCAAUCUUAGUUACUUUAGGAAAAAUGUGAAUUUGGUGCUAGCCCAUGGAAUUCACACUUUGUACCUUACCAAGUCGUUGGUGGAGCGUGUGUGGUUAACCGGCACACUAACUUGGACUAGUAAGGAUCACGAAGGGUGACUUAAUGUUUGUCAUAGAUCAAUGGAGCGUGUGUGGUUAACCGGCACAUUGAUUAGGUGAUAAUAUUAAGGGUACCAAGUGAAUUGGUAUGGUUAUUCACACCUUGUUUUGUGAUCCUCGGCAUCCCAGUCACAAAAUUUGAGAGGGCACACUCGAGAUUGAAACAUGCCAUUGAAAAGUUCAAUGAAUCUCAAAAGAUCUAGGAAUUUCAAAUCCAAUUAAAACCUAAUAAAUUAUUUCGUUUUUCAUGGUGGAAAUUGGUGAAUCGUCAUUCGCCUACCUUCAAAUAUUUUAUAGCUUGGAUUACGGCAUCCCUCUUCCAAAUUAUAAAAUAUUGUGUUGGGUCCUAGCCUUAAUAUUUCAUAUUGGGUGUUAUAUUAAGGACUUUGAAUCAACUAACUUGAUUUUCUCCCAUUAUAGAUGUCUGGUUCAGACAACUAUGAUCUUCCCAAAUCUCUUGAAGAUGGUGUCCCUCAACAUCAUGCUUCACUUCCUCCACCUCCUCCAAUUAUUCUCCCUCACCCACAAGUUCUUGAAAAGUUUAAAGUCACUCAAUCCCUAUUGGCAAGCAUAGUCUAUGUGUGCUCACAUCUUGGAGAUAAAGUCACAUAUUGACAAGCCGGGAGAGUUGGGUGUCAAAGUCUCGUGAAAGUUGGAUGUUCAAUCACUUUCUUAGUAACAUAGUGAGUCUCUUUGGGACUACUAUGAGACAGACUAUGACAUGACCCUUAAUGAUGUUAUCUAUUUGCUUGGUGUUGUGGAAUCAGCAAUGAUUUGGAACACCAGUAAAGCAAAUUUGAUUAAAAGAACAACUUCCCAAGUCUUAAAUGGACAUUGACAAUGGUAGCAUUGGAUAUCUAGAAAAGGAUUUCUCUUCCCAAUGGAAAGGGAUCGGCCAUAGUCAACUCGGUUGACCAAAUGGUAAAGAGAAAGGCUAAGUCUGAGAUAGUCUCAUGUGCCAUUACCAAAGGGUCCAUGUGUUUUGUUGCCAAAGGAAGGGGCAUUGGUUGCGAAGCUGCCCUAUUCACCUGAAAGGUCAUAAGGUUGAUCAAGUCAAGAGGUUUGACUCUACUUCGGGUAAAGUCCACUGUCUAACUCUAUUAAGUUCCUAUUUGGAGAUUCUUAUUACAUAAUGUGAAUGGGUCACAUGCUGAUGUUUUUAAGAAUCAAAGAAAAGAUAGGAAGCUUAAAGUAAGUAUAUGUUGAUUCUGAUUGCGAAGGUGGGUUUCGAUCGCAUGGUUCGGUAAUCAGAAUUUUGAGCUGUUGCUUAAGAGUUAUAAUAUAUUGCUUAUGAAUAGAUAACAACAAGGUUUUCAUGUGGAUUGUAAGGAUAAGUUUUUCCGCAAAGUUUUAAAAAAAAAAAAAAAAAGGGUUUUAAUUUUAUUUAUUUUAAAAAUAUCCUUACAAUGGCAUCUGUGGAAAAUUGUUGCUUAUAUGUUUCCAGUAAUAGCAAUAUUGGAAAGUGGAUUUGAUUCUUUCAUUUGUGGUAGUGUCUGAAUUUACCAAAUGAAGAAAGUUUUUCAUCACCCAAGUUUCAAUUGGACAGAAACUUGGAAUCAUACAAGUUGUAUUGUAUGAUGAAUGAGAAUUUUCAUCUUUGAAAAUUAAGACUAAUUCUUUGAUCACAUGUAUAUGUGAGUCAAUUGAAGGACUAAGGAAUUAGGUACACUGGGUGUGCGCUGGUCAAGGUCCACCACAAAGAUUGAUUUGUCAUGAUUUACUAAAGAUUAGUAAAUAUGAUUAUACUUAUGAGGUUAAGUAUAAUUCUGUAACAUUGGAAAGGUUACAAUGUAUGACAAAACAAAUGAGAAGAAUCAAAUUAGGCAGAAAGAUAAAAGUUUCUCAAAUCUGAAAGGAUGGGAGAGUACUUUAGUAUCGUAUUUCAUGAUCAUCUUAAUGAUUAUGAAACCAUAUCACAAAUUCAUACUCUAAGGACGUCUUAGUGCAUUGUUAUGGCUAAGAAGAGAGGUCAUGAAUUGUUGGAUUGGUUAAAAUCAAGAAGAUGAGUCAUACUUCGUUCCAAAACAAUUCUUAGAGUCAUACUCCAAGAUUGUAACUUUGAGUGACAUAAAGGAAGAUUUAUUAACACUAGUCAAAUGUAAGAGUAAAAUGUUUUCUACUCUUGUACAUUUGAGAUUGGUAAGUUGUGAUGUCUUGGAUGAGACAAAGACCAACUAAGACCAAUUGUGUGAAGUGUUAGUCUUGAUAAGAAUCCGCACUAUCCCUUGAAUAUUUGUUUUGUCAAGGAAUGGUUCUUGACUGGGGAAACUUAUAUGUCAAGGGGACAGUGGGAGCCUUAAAGAUCCUGAAAGAGUUUCAAGAUUUAAUCAAGAGUAAAACCUGUAAUUUAUCACUAGCACACGACUUAAGGUUUGCAACCUAUCGUGUUGACAUAAUUCUUAUUUCUGUACCUACUUCAAAUAAGUUGAAUUUGCAUGUGAGUUAUCAGAGUUCAACUUGGAAGCAUUGGUGGGCCUUGUGCUACCAAGGUGACAAGAAACUAAGAUUGAACAAGUUUAAUCCAUGUAAGGCUGAAUUUGUCACUAACCUUAUCUUGUGAUUAUGGUUUUGACAAAUUCACAUGGAUAGGAACUCAUACACUAUAAAAUCUAAGUGUCAUAAGGUUUCUCUCCGAUUCAUGAAAAUGAUGGUGAGGAAACGCUUUCACUAAGUAGAUUUUACGUAGAUAUCAAUUGUGUUAUUUGCAUUUUCAAAAGUCGUUAGUGGAGCGCGUGUGGUUAACCGGCACACUAACAUGGACUUGUGAGAAAUGGCAAAUGCCUAAGCAAUUGAGACUAUGAUUACGGCAUCCCUUUUCAUAGUUCUGAAAAUUGUUUAGACACACAUGUGAGCUAUCUAAGAAAGGGUGUAUGAAUCUAAAUUUCAGAAGUCCAGCAGAUUUCUGGAAAUAUGUCAGAGCUAGUGGGAGCAUAAGUGUUAUGCUGAUAAUCAUCAUGUUAGUGGGAGCAUGAUUAUUACGUUUAGUGUUGCAAGUUAGCAAUGUUAAUUAUAGAAAACAAAGUUUCAAUUCGUGAAGUUGCAGGGGUUGAAAAGUUGUUUUGCUAUAAUUAAGGGAGAGGAAAUUAUACUUCAUUUCAAUUCUAAAGCUUAGAUUGAGAUUUUAAUCAUCUUUAGUCAAGAAUAUAUAUAUGAAUUUUAUGUUGGAAUGGUUCAACUUGAAGAAAUUCUAUAUAUAUUGCGUUUUCAAAAUUCGAUUAUGAUUACGGCAUCCCUCUUCAUAGUUAAAUUUUGAAAACAUGGCAAAUAAAAAAUAUUGUAGCAAAAGACUGGUCUAGUAUCAUGUCUUUAUGUCAAACAUCAUGAAUCGUGUCCCAUAUGCUUCGGAUAUAGGAUCGAUUGCAUGUGCUAUAAUAUUCAUCUUUUCUAAAUUUUCCAAAUGCUUAAGGCAUUGAGAAGGGAAAAGUCUAGAACUGGAUAUGACUAAAGUGAUUAAGCAAUUGUCGAGGACAAUCUGAGGUUCGCCAAAGAUUGGUUGCUCAGGGAAAGUUGGAAGUAUGAUGUAAGUUGUCGGAAAGGACCAUAUUGACAUAUUCUGAAAAGAAGUAACUCUUGUUCGGAAGUGAUAGUCAAAAUGGGACUAUGGAAAUGUCUCCAUAGGUGGAAGUUAUUCAAUCUAUGUAAGAUUAGAAAACCUUAAUGCAAGAAGGAUGUUCAAAGCAAUGUACUUUGAAUAUGAGACUUCCGUUCCAUAGAAGUUGACCUUCUUUGGAAUACUCUGUAAUGACUGGUGACAAGGUUUUGGUGACUUUGUGCAUAAUCAUUACAAGAGGAACAUUGCAUAAAAGUUUAAAAUCUAACAGUUUUUUUGGUAAAUGAUAGGAAUCGGGGAUUCUCACAUUUACAAUAAGGAUUUGGGAUUGUGAAAUGAGUAUCAUUGGAAUCAUGUUCAAUUGAUCUACAUCACAAUGUAAGGAUCAUAGACAAACAUAGUGUGCAUACUUGGAGUAUGGCAUAACUAUUGUUUAGAAAAACAAAGUGUACAUGCUAGGAGCAUGGGACGACUGUUGUUUUUAUUCAAGUCUUAAGUUGAUUGUUUGAAACAUUAUACAAUGAAUAAUGUGUAAUCAAUAUGGUGAUAAAUAAAAGGUGGUUCUAUUUAUAUUCAAAAGGGUUCUGAGACCAUAUUGGAUUCGAUUAUUAUUGUGUUUCACUUUGCAUGUUUUGACUUCCAAAAUAGCUAGGUUAUUCUUUCCGAAUGACUAAGUUAUUUAAACACUCCACAGUCGUUCAUAUGUUGGAAGUAGGUAUGAAUCAAGACUGUCAUGAAUCGAGUUUGUAGAUGGCUAAAUGGGUUUAGUCAUAGCAAUGGUUGCUACAACAUUCAUGAGUGCUCAUAAGUUAUGAGUAUUGGAAUAAACCCACGCUCACUUGUAUCACUUCAUGGAAUUUAUCUCGAGUGAUCGUGAGACGGUAAUAUCAUAUAAAUCUUCAAACCUAGAGAUAUGAGUUGUUACCUAUGAGUUGGUUGUGCAUUGAUUGCACGUAAACGCAUCAGUAACUUGAUGUUAUAAAACGUGCCUUUGUGUACAAUUCAACAAGUAGUAGAACAAGCAUAUGAGUCGAAGUUUAUCUGUUCCUUCUAGAAAUAGAAGCGAUAUCUGGGCCCCUCGAUGAUUUUGUUGUGACCUAUGUACCGGCCGGUCAGAACUAAAUUGAUGUGUUCGAUUAAGUUCUUUGUCAAACAAAUCGAAAAUCGGGAAACAAACUGCUGGACAAUAAGUACGACGUUGUUCCAUGUAUUUGUCCGGCUGAUAUCAUGAGAACAGAGGAUUAUAUGAUCACUUAUCUAAAAUGGCGCUUCAUAGUUCAACAGAGUUUUCGAGAGCUACGAUUGCUGGUUGGUUCCUGAAGUAACAUAGGCAAAUAUAGUUAUUAGACUUAUCCAAGUGGGAGUCUGUUGGAUAAGGUGUCUAAGUCCAUAACUUAUUUGGUAUAUACUUGACCCGACCCGGCAUGGUCCAUUUGGGUUGCAUUUCAUCCAAACUAUUUAUGGAUAAUUUUAUGAGAGUUAUACACAUAUGUUUAUUAAUAUAUUAUAAGUUAUAAUAUAUUAAUAUGAAGUCAUGUUAUUUAAUUAGUCUUAGUCUUAAAUUAAUUAUGAAUUAAUUUAGAGAUUAAAAGGAAGACUAAUUAGAUUGUGGGCUAUUGGUUUUAUAUAGUGUGGGCUAACACUCAUUUGUUAAUGGGCUAGGCUUGUAUGGAAGUCCAUGGAUGAUCCAUGGAGCUUUUAACCCAUGGAUCCUUGGAAAAGGAAAGGUCAUGGGUUAUUAGGGUUUCACCCUAAUUAUGUACACUAUAUAAGCAUGCUUAUGUUGCAUGAAAUAGCCACUAGUGGCACUAGUUGUGUGAGACUUGGUGUGUGGCCGAUUUUAUGAGUGUGUAUACACUCUCUCAAAGCUUUCCAAGAGUUUGUGGUGAUUUGUGAUUCCAUUUGAGGCAUUCACACUAUUGGUGCUUGGCCCUCAAACUCCUUAGGAUUCAAACUCAUCAUCAAAAGGUAUGUAAUCUCAUCUAAUUCUUUUAUGUUUAAAAGUACCCCAUGCCAUGUUAGAUAGGUUAUGAACCUUGGAAAAUUAUUAUUUUGCAUGUAUUUAGACAAACAUAGAUCCAAGGUUUAUUAGGGUUGCAUGCACACUUAGGAAGUGUUAGAUUGCUCAAAACCCAACAG
rnacentral:lncRNA from 1 species